GUCGAGCGAAGCACUUUACUUGGAUUUCUUCGGAAUGACGAGUAUUGUGACUGAGCGGCGGACGGGUGAGUAACGCGUGGGUAACCUGCCUCAUACAGGGGGAUAACAGUUAGAAAUGACUGCUAAUACCGCAUAAGACCACAGCACCGCAUGGUGCAGAGGUAAAAACUCCGGUGGUAUGAGAUGGACCCGCGUCUGAUUAGCUGGUUGGUGGGGUAACGGCCUACCAAGGCGACGAUCAGUAGCCGGCCUGAGAGGGCGACCGGCCACAUUGGGACUGAGACACGGCCCAAACUCCUACGGGAGGCAGCAGUGGGGAAUAUUGCACAAUGGGGGAAACCCUGAUGCAGCGACGCCGCGUGAAGGAAGAAGUAUUUCGGUAUGUAAACUUCUAUCAGCAGGGAAGAAAAUGACGGUACCUGACUAAGAAGCCCCGGCUAACUACGUGCCAGCAGCCGCGGUAAUACGUAGGGGGCAAGCGUUAUCCGGAUUUACUGGGUGUAAAGGGAGCGUAGACGGAGAGGCAAGUCUGAUGUGAAAACCCGGGGCUCAACCCCGGGACUGCAUUGGAAACUGUUUUUCUAGAGUGUCGGAGAGGUAAGCGGAAUUCCUAGUGUAGCGGUGAAAUGCGUAGAUAUUAGGAGGAACACCAGUGGCGAAGGCGGCUUACUGGACGAUGACUGACGUUGAG
rnacentral:rRNA from 1 species